rnacentral:misc_RNA from 1 species
GUUUGGUCUCGUAGGCAGACGUUUGUGCGGCCUAAUCACUGGUGAGUCGUUCAUGGAGAAGCCACCGCCACGACUGAGCGUUUAUCUCGGCAACAUCGACCAAACGCUCCCCGAGGUAGGAAGUCAACAGCAGAGAUGCUGUCAGCCGUCAGAUGUGCCCUCUCCCAGCUCCAAGGGGAGCCGGAACCCAAUCUAAUAGUUCCGACAAACGAGAAGCCAAUAGAACCGGGCUGAUUCUGGUUGUACGAUGUCUACAGUUGCCGUGUCUGUGAUGAAUAUAGGUUUUACGAGAGACCGUGUCUCAUCGUUAAAAACUCUGCUAGAAUUAAUCUCACGAAAUAGACAAUAAUCGAUAUUAGUCAUUGAAACCGCAAUAUUAAACACAAUGUUGAGAAACAAAUGUAUAUAAUAACUGUUUUCAGCAAACAUUUCUAGUCAGAUCAUUGUAAAUAAAAAGG